ACGAACGCUGGCGGCGUGCUUAACACAUGCAAGUCGAGCGGUAAGGCCCUUUCGGGGGUACACGAGCGGCGAACGGGUGAGUAACACGUGGGUGACCUGCCCUCAGCUCUGGGAUAAGCCUGGUAAACCGGGUCUAAUACUGGAUAUGACUCCAUGACGCAUGUUGUGGGGUGGAAAGCCUUGUGCGGCUGAGGAUGGGCCCGCGGCCUAUCAGCUUGUUGGUGGGGUGAUGGCCUACCAAGGCGACGACGGGUAGCCGGCCUGAGAGGGCGACCGGCCACACUGGGACUGAGACACGGCCCAGACUCCUACGGGAGGCAGCAGUGGGGAAUCUUGCGCAAUGGGCGAAAGCCUGACGCAGCGACGCCGCGUGAGGGAUGACGGCCUGGU
rnacentral:rRNA from 1 species